AUUGAACGCUGGCGGCAUGCCUUACACAUGCAAGUCGAACGGUAACAGGUCUUCGGAUGCUGACGAGUGGCGAACGGGUGAGUAAUACAUCGGAACGUGCCUAAUAGUGGGGGAUAACUACUCGAAAGAGUGGCUAAUACCGCAUGAGAUCUACGGAUGAAAGCAGGGGGUCGAAAGACGUUGUGCUCCGAGAGCGGCCGGUGGCAGAUAAGGUAGUUGGUGGGAUAAAAGCUUACCAAGCCGACGAUCUGUAGCUGGUCUGAGAGGACGAACAGCAACACUGGGACUGAGACACGGCCCAGACUCCUACGGGAGGCAGCAGUGGGGAAUUUUGGACAAUGGGCGAAAGCCUGAUCCAGCAAUGCCGCGUGCAGGAUGAAGGCCUUCGGGUUGUAAACUGCUUUUGUACGGAACGAAAAGCCCUGGGUUAAUACCCUGGGGUCAUGAAGGUACCGUAAGAAUAAGCACCGGCUAACUACGUGCCAGCCGCCGCCGUAA
rnacentral:rRNA from 1 species